GAUGCGGGAGGUAUACAUACACAGACUAUACAGGGGACUAUCACUCAGCCAUCGAAAAGAAUGAAAUCUUGCCAUCUGCAAUGACGGAGCUAGAGUAUACGAUGUGAAGCAAAGUGACGUGGUAUCUAGAAUUUAAAGUACUCCAGCACAACCCCAAGCAGUCAGUGAGGAGGAACAGGCAAGACAAGAGUGACAGCAUCGACUCUUCUCCCUGCCCAGCAUGCCAUUCUGUGAGCUUCUGGAACACAGAGACCACGUCUGUCACACUUGGACCCCUGGAAUCUAGACACCACAAAACAAGCUAAGAUGGUGAUCAAGAUGAUGGGAGAAUACAGAUUCCUUUGCCAAAGACA